CUCAUGAACAGGAUAGACUGCUUAGCCGCCGUCACGAAGCCAGGUUGACGUUCCAAAACAAGAUGCUGAUCCUCCUAAAGCUGUGUGUUUCAGUCUGGGUGCUAGUGUUGGAUGCAGGAGCACAGGUCGACAUUUGUGGUAGUGGAUCAGUGCUAGUUGCCAACUCAACGCCCAAGACACUCCAGAACACAGAUGGGUUAUCUUCACAAUGUUCAGUACUAAUCACCGUACCAGCUGGUUCCUCUUUGAAACUUGAUUUCACCAGAUUUAAUUACACGGCCCAUAGUAUUUAUCU